UGCUUGAUGGAACCAUCCGCUUUCCAAAGGUUCCCUCAGUAGCAGACAAGCUCUUUUAAUGGGCACUCUCAGAGUCAGAGCUGUAAAAUUAGGACUCACAUGCUGCAUGUUAAAAAUAAUAAGCAAUGCACAUGGCCUUCACUUGAACUUUGGACAGGAGGAAGAGAAUAGGCUUUUCUUCUGUCCAGUUAACAGAGAUUAGAGAUCUUUCUACCAUGGCCGAGCUCACCCAGCAGAUGAAGAACAGCUUCUUCCCCACAGCUGACAGCAUCAAAGGUGGCAACAAUGGCAACCCUCAAGAUAAAGGCACCGAAGAUACGGAUAAAGCCAAGUUGAGAACUCUGCAGGAUAGAGGGAUCCAAGUAGCAGCAGUACGUGGUCCAAAGCCCCCAGGUCCAGCAAAAGCACCUCCCCCACAGACUAAUUGAGUAGUAUAGAAGCAUGGGUCAUGUCAUUAGCAGCUUCCUUCUGAUCUUCUACUGUAGAAUCUGGUUGUUUAGUUUGCUGGGUUGCCUUAAGCGUGAAGCCUUAAAUCUUUGGGAGAUGAGUGUCUCAUGUCUGAAUCUUAGUUAUGAAACAUGUUUAAGUUUGUUUACUGCAGUCUCUAAUAUGUAAUAAAGUGCAGUUAAUUGAUGCAAAAUAUAUAAAACAUGAUCAUUUGUCAUAAAAAGAUGCUGUUCUGUCUGUG